GACGAACGCUGGCGGCGUGCCUAAUACAUGCAAGUUGAGCGAUGAAGAUUGGUGCUUGCACCAAUUUGAAGAGCAGCGAACGGGUGAGUAACGCGUGGGGAAUCUGCCUUUGAGCGGGGGACAACAUUUGGAAACGAAUGCUAAUACCGCAUAACAACUUUAAACAUAAGUUUUAAGUUUGAAAGAUGCAAUUGCACCACUCAAAGAUGAUCCCGCGUUGUAUUAGCUAGUUGGUGAGGUAAAGGCUCACCAAGGCGAUGAUACAUAGCCGACCUGAGAGGGUGAUCGGCCACAUUGGGACUGAGACACGGCCCAAACUCCUACGGGAGGCAGCAGUAGGGAAUCUUCGGCAAUGGACGAAAGUCUGACCGAGCAACGCCGCGUGAGUGAAGAAGGGUUUCGGAUCGUAAAACUCUGUUGGUAGAGAAGAACGUUGGUGAGAGUGGAAAGCUCAUAAAGUGACGGUAACUACCCAGAAAGGGACGGCUAACUACGUG
rnacentral:rRNA from 1 species